AAAAAAAAAAAAACUUCAAAAGGCGGUUUCUUGGAUGCUACAAAGAGUAAUAAUGUCCUUUACUGUAUUUUAUUAGGCAUACAUAAAAGAUAUCUCUCUACGCUCGAUUGUUGUUCGUUCUGUGUGUAAAUGCAACAAACAGACAUCCUGAAGGCAUCCCCCCGAGAGAGGGCACAAAGAGCAAGAAAACUUGGACACACAUAACCAGUCCCUGUGUAUUUCCUUGCAGCAUUUAUGGCGUAAAAAUGGGUUGCUUGUCUUCUAUCCUUUAUAAGUUCUAGCUAUGAACAAACCUGGACAGG
rnacentral:lncRNA from 1 species